UACGGAGGGUGCAAGCGUUAUCCGGAUUCACUGGGUUUAAAGGGUGCGUAGGCGGAUAUGUAAGUCCGUGGUGAAAUCUCUGGGCUUAACCCGGAAACUGCCAUGGAUACUAUGUGUCUUGAAUGUUGUUGAGGUGAGCGGAAUAUGUCAUGUAGCGGUGAAAUGCUUAGAUAUGACAUAGAACACCAAUUGCGAAGGCAGCUCACUACACAGUUAUUGACGCUGAGGCACGAAAGCGUGGGGAUCAAACAGG
rnacentral:rRNA from 1 species